rnacentral:rRNA from 1 species
AUGGAGGCACUGGCCCUCUUCAAGUCCUACUUUGGUCCAACUUUUCAUGAAGAUACUAUCAGGAAUAACUUGGUGUUAAUAUACGAAUUUCUUGAUGGUAAGUGA